AAAUUGAAGAGUUUGAUCGCGGCUCAGAUUGAACGCUGGCGGCAGCCUACCACAUGCAAGUCGAACGGUAACAGGAAGCAGCUUGCUGCUUUGCUUAUCGAGCGGCGGACGGGUAGGUGCGUCUGGAAACCGCCCAUUGAGGGAUAACUACUGGAAACGUGCUACCACCGCAUAACGUCGCAAGACCAAAGAGGGGGACCUUCGGGCCCUUGCCAUCAGGAUGUGUGCCCAGAUGGAUUAGUUAGUUGGUGAGGUAACGGUCACCAAGGCGACGAUCCCUAGCUGGUCUGAGAGGAUGACCAGCCACACUGGAACUGAGACGGUCCAGACUCCUACGGAGGCAGUGGGGGACAUAAAACAAUGGGCGCAAUUCCAUGCAGCCAUGCCGUGCGUGGGCGAAGAAGGCCUUCGGGUUGUAAAGUUACCUUCAGCGGGGAGUGAAGGUGUUGUGGUUAAUAACCGCAGCAAUUGACGUUACCCGCAGGAAGGGUGCUGCACCGGCUAACUCCGUGCCAGCAGCCGCGGUAAUGAGCGAGGUGCGCGUUAAUUCCGAAUUACUGGCGUAAAAGCGCACGCAGGCGGUCCGUCGUCGGAUGUGAAACUCGCUCAAACUCCGGAACUGCAUUCGAAACUGGCAGGCUUGAGUCUUAGAGGGGGUAGAAUUCGUGUAGCGGUGAAAUGCGUAGAGAUCUGGAGGAAUACUGGUGGCGAAGGCGGCCCUCGGACAAAGACCGACGCUCAGGUGCGAAAGCGUGGGAGCAAACAGGAUUAGAUAAUACCCCGUAGUCCACGCCGUAAACGAUGUCUACUUGGAGGUUGUGCCCUGAGGCGUGGCUUCCGAGCACCAACGCGUUAAGUAGACCGCCCGGGAGUACGGCCGCAAGGUUAAAACUCAAAUGAAUUGACGGGGUCCGCACAAGCGGUGGAUACGUGGUUUAAUUCGAUGCAACGCGAAGAACCUUACCCGGGUCUCUGACAUCCACGGAAGUUUUCAGAGAUGAGAAUGUGCCUUCGGGAACCGUGAGACAGGUGCUGCAUGGCUGCUGUCGUCAGCUCGUAAGCUGUGAAAUGCUGGGUUAAGUCCCGCAACGAGCGCAACCCCAUCCUUGCCAGCGAUUAGGUCGGGAACUCAAAGGAGACUGCCAGUGAUAAACUGGAGGGAAGGUGGGGAUGACGUCAAGUCAUCAUGGCCUUACGACCAAAAGGCUGGCCAUCAUCGUGCUACAAUGGCGCAUACAAAGAGAAGCGACCUCGCGAGACAAGCGGACCUCAUAAGUGCGUCGUAGUCCGGAUUGAGUCUGCAACUCGACCCAUGAAGCCGGAAUCGCGCAGUAAUCGUGAUCAGAAUGCCACGGUGAAUACGUUCCCGGGCCUUGUACACCGCCCGUCACACCAUGUAGCGGUUGCAAAAGAAGUAGGUAGCUUAACCUUCGAGGGGCGCUUACCAAUUUUGCAUUCAUGACUGGGGUGAAGUCGUAACAAGGUGUAACCGUAGGGAACCUGCGGUUGAUCACCUCCUUA
rnacentral:rRNA from 1 species